rnacentral:rRNA from 1 species
GUAACGGCGAGUGAAGCGGCAACAGCUCAAAUUUGAAAUCUGGCUCUUUCAGAGUCCGAGUUGUAAUUUGCAGAGGGCGCUUUGGCUUUGGCAGCGGUCCAAGUUCCUUGGAACAGGACGUCACAGAGGGUGAGAAUCCCGUACGUGGUCGCUAGCUAUUGCCGUGUAAAGCCCCUUCGACGAGUCGAGUUGUUUGGGAAUGCAGCUCUAAAUGGGAGGUAAAUUUCUUCUAAAGCUAAAUAUUGGCCAGAGACCGAUAGCGCACAAGUAGAGUGAUCGAAAGAUGAAAAGCACUUUGGAAAGAGAGUCAAACAGCACGUGAAAUUGUUGAAAGGGAAGCGCUUGCAGCCAGACAUGCUUGCAGUUGCUCAUCCGGGCUUUUGCCCGGUGCACUCUUCUGUAGGCAGGCCAGCAUCAGUUUGGGCGGUGGGAUAAAGGUCUCUGUCACGUACCUCUCUUCGGGGAGGCCUUAUAGGGGAGACGACAUACCACCAGCCUAGACUGAGGUCCGCGCAUCUGCUAGGAUGCUGGCGUAAUGGCUGUAAGCGGCCCGUCUUGAAACACGGACCAAGGAGUCUAACAUCUAUGCGAGUGUUUGGGUGUCAAGCCCGAGCGCGUAAUGAAAGUGAACGGAGGUGGGAACCCGCAAGGGUGCACCAUCGACCGAUCCUGAAGUUUACGGAAGGAUUUGAGUAAGAGCAUGGCUGUUGGGACCCGAAAGAUGGUGAACUAUGCUUGAAUAGGGUGAAGCCAGAGGAAACUCUGGUGGAGGCUCGCAGCGGUUCUGACGUGCAAAUCGAUCGUCAAAUUUGGGCAUAGGGGCGAAAGACUAAUCGAACUAUCUAGUAGCU